rnacentral:rRNA from 1 species
AUGAACGCUAGCUACAGGCUUAACACAUGCAAGUCGAGGGGCAGCAUGGUCUUAGCUUGCUAAGGCCGAUGGCGACCGGCGCACGGGUGAGUAACACGUAUCCAACCUGCCGUCUACUCUUGGACAGCCUUCUGAAAGGAAGAUUAAUACAAGAUGACAUCAUGAGUCCGCAUGUUCACAUGAUUAAAGGUAUUCCGGUAGACGAUGGGGAUGCGUUCCAUUAGAUAGUAGGCGGGGUAACGGCCCACCUAGUCUUCGAUGGAUAGGGGUUCUGAGAGGAAGGUCCCCCACAUUGGAACUGAGACACGGUCCAAACUCCUACGGGAGGCAGCAGUGAGGAAUAUUGGUCAAUGGGCGAGAGCCUGAACCAGCCAAGUAGCGUGAAGGAUGACUGCCCUAUGGGUUGUAAACUUCUUUUAUAAAGGAAUAAAGUCGGGUAUGGAUACCCGUUUGCAUGUACUUUAUGAAUAAGGAUCGGCUAACUCCGUGCCAGCAGCCGCGGUAAUACGGAGGAUUCGAGCGUUAUCCGGAUUUAUUGGGUUUAAAGGGAGCGUAGAUGGAUGUUUAAGUCAGUUGUGAAAGUUUGCGGCUCAACCGUAAAAUUGCAGUUGAUACUGGAUAUCUUGAGUGCAGUUGAGGCAGGCGGAAUUCGUGGUGUAGCGGUGAAAUGCUUAGAUAUCACGAAGAACUCCGAUUGCGAAGGCAGCCUGCUAAGCUGCAACUGACAUUGAGGCUCGAAAGUGUGGGUAUCAAACAGGAUUAGAUACCCUGGUAGUCCACACGGUAAACGAUGAAUACUCGCUGUUUGCGAUAUACGGCAAGCGGCCAAGCGAAAGCGUUAAGUAUUCCACCUGGGGAGUACGCCGGCAACGGUGAAACUCAAAGGAAUUGACGGGGGCCCGCACAAGCGGAGGAACAUGUGGUUUAAUUCGAUGAUACGCGAGGAACCUUACCCGGGCUUAAAUUGCAGAUGAAUUACGGUGAAAGCCGUAAGCCGCAAGGCAUCUGUGAAGGUGCUGCAUGGUUGUCGUCAGCUCGUGCCGUGAGGUGUCGGCUUAAGUGCCAUAACGAGCGCAACCCUUGUUGUCAGUUACUAACAGGUUCUGCUGAGGACUCUGACAAGACUGCCAUCGUAAGAUGUGAGGAAGGUGGGGAUGACGUCAAAUCAGCACGGCCCUUACGUCCGGGGCUACACACGUGUUACAAUGGGGGGUACAGAGGGCCGCUACCACGCGAGUGGAUGCCAAUCCCAAAAACCUCUCUCAGUUCGGACUGGAGUCUGCAACCCGACUCCACGAAGCUGGAUUCGCUAGUAAUCGCGCAUCAGCCACGGCGCGGUGAAUACGUUCCCGGGCCUUGUACACACCGCCCGUCAAGCCAUGGGAGCCGGGGGUACCUGAAGUGCGUAACCGCGAGGAGCGCCCUAGGGUAAAACUGGUGACUGGGGCU